CUGGCUUCAUAUUGCUGUCGAAGCAAUCAAUAUCAUGUGGUUGUCUCGGGCAUUAGUUUCAAGAAUGAAGCCGAUAAAAUCGUUCCCCUCGCUAUCCAGUGCUUCAUUCUUGGUGAAGUAAUUUGGACGUCGGGGAACCACAUUA
rfam:Eucalyptus grandis cultivar BRASTZ1 unplaced genomic scaffold scaffold_2, whole genome shotgun sequence.